rnacentral:rRNA from 1 species
AUACGUAGGGUGCAAGCGUUAUCCGGAUUUAUUGGGUUUAAAGGGUCCGUAGGCGGAUCUGUAAGUCAGUGGCGAAAUCUCAUAGCUUAACUAUGAAACUGCCAUUGAUACUGCAGGUCUUGAGUAAGGUAGAAGUAGCUGGAAUAAGUAGUGUAGCGGUGAAAUGCAUAGAUAUUACUUAGAACACCAAUUGCGAAGGCAGGUUACUAUGUCUUAACUGACGCUGAUGGGCGAAAGCGUGGGGAGCGAACAGGAUUAGAAACCCCAGUAGUCC